CCUGACUGCUAUCGGAUUGAUACUAAGCCAUGCGAGUCAUUGUAGCAAUACAAGGCAGACGGCUCAGUAACGCGUAGUCAAUCUACCCUAUGGACGGGAAUAACCUCGGGAAACUGAGAAUAAUGCCCGAUAGAACAUUAUGCCUGGAAUGGUUUAUGUUUCAAAUGAUUUAUCGCCAUAGGAUGGGACUGCGGCCUAUCAGUUUGUUGGUGAGGUAAUGGCCCACCAAGACUAUUACAGGUACGGGCUCUGAGAGGAGUAGCCCGGAGAUGGGUACUGAGACACGGACCCAGGCCCUAUGGGGCGCAGCAGGCGAGAAAACUUUGCAAUGUGCGAAAGCACGACAAGGUUAAUCCGAGUGGUUUCUGCUAAAGAAACCUUUUGUCAGUCCUAGAAACACUAACGAAUAAGGGGUGGGCAAGUUCUGGUGUCAGCCGCCGCGGUAAAACCAGCACCUCAAGUGGUCAGGAUGAUUAUUGGGCCUAAAGCAUCCGCAGCUCGUUUUGUAAGUUUUCGGUUAAAUCCAUGCGCUUAACGUAUGGGCUGCCGGGAAUACUGCAUAACUAGGAAGUGGGAGAGGUAGACGGUACUCGGGAGGAAGGGGUAAAAUCCUUUGAUCUCUUGAUGACCACCUGUGGCGAAGGCGGUCUACCAGAACACGUUCGACGGUGAGGGAUGAAAGCUGGGGGAGCAAACCGGAUUAGAUACCCGGGUAGUCCCAGCUGUAAACUAUGCAAACUCGGUGAUGCAUUGGCUUAUGGCCAAUGCAGUGCUGCAGGGAAGCCGUUAAGUUUGCCGCCUGGGAAGUACGUACGCAAGUAUGAAACUUAAAGGAAUUGGCGGGGGAGCACCACAAGGGGUGAAGCCUGCGGUUCAAUUGGAGUCAACGCC
rnacentral:rRNA from 1 species